UACGGGGGGUGCAAGCGUUGUCCGGAAUCACUGGGCGUAAAGGGCGCGUAGGUGGCCCGUGGAAGUCUGCGGUGAAAGCCCGGCGCUCAACGCCGGGUCGGCCGUGGAUACUCUCGGGCUUGAGCUUACUAGAGGCAGAUGGAAUUCCGGGUGUAGCGGUGGAAUGCGUAGAGAUCCGGAAGAACACCGGUGGCGAAGGCGGUCUGCUGGGGUAAUGCUGACACUGAUGCGCGACAGCGUGGGGAGCAAACAGG
rnacentral:rRNA from 1 species